GGGGAGCUGGGUACAAACAAAUGGAGGAAUGAAACGGGCACACACCUGUUUUUUUAAAAAAGCCUCUUUCCUCCUAUUUCCUUCCAUCUUUCAAAGGGGGUCUAAUGACAUUCACAGACACAGUGUGAUUACAUGGCAUGUUAACACUGCUGAAGGCAAAGUCCUGUCUCAGGCCGAGGAGGGAAAUCUAUUUUACAGCAGGGGCAACGCUGACGCAGAUGUUAACGGAAUCACGGCCAUCUGCCUGAAGGUGACCACCACUGUGGGCCCCUGCUGAAAGGAAGCUGCCAUCUUACUCUAAUGACGUCAGAGUCUGAGCAGGAGUGAUGACACUGUGGAGCCGCAGCAUCGAGGUCACGCCAAUACACAUGCUCUGCUAAAUACAUCUGGGCUCAGCAAGGGAAGCUGAACACACAAGAAUAUGUCAGAGUGGAUUUGUGUCCUUCAACCUUAACCUUCUCCAAUGUGCACAAGACUUUUUUUAGUAAAUCCAGGCAGCUUCCCCACAGUGACUCCAUACACCCAGAGGAUCAGGCACAGAACAGGGCGGUAUUCUUGGAUGACCGGCACCAAAAGCAGAGUCAGCUCAGGAUAAAAGUUAGAAAGUCGGGAAGAGAUUUCUUUGAGCGCGGAACAAGAUGGCUGGAUGUCUCCCUCAUUAUGGCCCUCAUCUGUUUCACGAGGAAAGAGGAGACGAGAGAAGACAGAGAAUCUUCACAUUCGCAAAAGUUUUUACUGGCACUCGUUUGAUGUCUCAUCGAGCAUCUCAAGGCCCGACUGAAGUCAAGGCUGUGAAUCUUUCCAGCAGAGUAAUUGCACCUCAGUUGUAGCUCGUCUCUGCAGCUGGAGCUUCCCGCUCAGCGAGUUCCCAUGCGUUUGGGCUCCGAACACAUUUACUUUAAAUGAACAGACCCGUGGGCGAGAAGACAGGGAGAAAAAGACGGGGACACCCACAGGGAUUUAUUGACUUUUAUGAAGUGUGUUAUUGCAGAUAGCACAAAUAGCUUGAAUUAUCUUUACAUAAUGUCUUAAAAGUUCAUUCAUGCCUUCACGUACUUCAUAAAUAUUGAAUUAUACUCUCUGAGAGGCAUGUUCAUGCUAGUGACAGGAACAGGCUGUGUGCUGUACAUUUCAAGUCUGUGAGUUUUCUUAUCUUAUCUGAGGUUUGGAUUUUAAAUAAAGCAAAG